rnacentral:rRNA from 1 species
GGGGAAUUUUGGACAAUGGGCGCAAGCCUGAUCCAGCAAUGCCGCGUGCAGGAAGAAGGCCUUCGGGUUGUAAACUGCUUUUGUCAGGGAAGAAAUCUUCUGGGUUAAUACCUCGGGAGGAUGACGGUACCUGAAGAAUAAGCACCGGCUAACUACGUGCCAGCAGCCGCGGUAAUACGUAGGGUGCGAGCGUUAAUCGGAAUUACUGGGCGUAAAGCGUGCGCAGGCGGCUUUGCAAGACAGAGGUGAAAUCCCCGGGCUCAACCUGGGAACUGCCUUUGUGACUGCAAGGCUAGAGUACGGCAGAGGGGGAUGGAAUUCCGCGUGUAGCAGUGAAAUGCGUAGAUAUGCGGAGGAACACCAGUGGCGAAGGCGACUUUCUGGUCUGCAACUGACGCUGAGGCGCGAAAGCAUGGGGAGCAAACA